rnacentral:lncRNA from 1 species
UCUGGUUUUACUGUGUUGUAGGUUAUUUCUGUGGUUACUGUGUUGUAGGUAUUUCUCUGGUUUACUGUGUUGUAGGCUCUUUCUGUGGUUUACUGUGUGUUGUAGGUUAUUUCUCUGGUUUACUGUGUUGUAGGUUAUUUCUCUGGUUUAUGUGUGUAGGUUAUUUCUGUGGUUUACUGUGUGUAGGUUAUUUCUCUGGUUUACUGUUUGUAGGUUAUUUCUGUGGUUUUACUGUGUGUUGUAGGUUAUUUCUCUGGUUUACUGUGUUGUAGGUUAUUUCUCUGCGUUUUACUGUGUGUUGUAGGUUAUUUCUCUGGUUUUACGUGUUGUAGGUUAUUUCUCUGGUUACUGUGUGUUGUGUUGUAGGUUAUUUCUCUGGUUUUACUGGUGUGUAGGUUAUUUCUGUGGUUAUCAACCGACC